rnacentral:pre_miRNA from 12 species
GUCAUUCUGAUUAAGUGGUUCUCAACAGUUCAACAGUUCUUUGAGAAAAUUGUGAAAUGUUUAGGACCACUUGACCAGUC